ensembl:rRNA 5S_rRNA 5S ribosomal RNA
GUCUAUGGCCACACCACCCUGAAUGCACCUGGAUCUAGUCUGAUCUCAGAAGCUAACCAGGGUUGGGCCUAGUUAGUAGUUGGAUCGAAGAAUACAACUUUUUCUUGUACAUA